GUUCCGAGUUUUCACAUUAGAAUCUGAUUCCUUGCUUCUCGUUAAUCAUGUGCAGAAGAGAUUGGUGUUGCCUUCAACCAGAAUACAAUAACUCUUAAUGGAGAUGGAUGAUUGCAGUUUCGUCAAUUGUGUUCAUGUGCUUAGAGAGGUUAAUCUGGUUGCUCAUGCACUUGCAAAAUUUGCAUUGAACCUUGAUGUUGAU
rnacentral:misc_RNA from 1 species